rnacentral:lncRNA from 10 species
CUGAAUAUAUUUGUAACUUACAGCUUUUAUUUUUACUGCUAAUAAUAAAAAUAAUAUGUUAGAGGCUUUGUAUGUAUUAAAUCACUGAAACUCUCUGCAACUUUAGGAAAUAGUUUAUAUUAAACCCAUUUUAUAGAUGACAAAAUUGAGUUAGACAAGUUAAGUAACUGCUCAGAGCUUUAUAUACACUAAAUAUCAGAAUUAGGCUUUAUCUCAGAACUCUUUGACUCCAAGAUACAGGAAAUUAAGAACUAUUAUACUUUCUCUAUUUCUAAAUGUAAUACAAUUCACACAUUUUAAAUAUCUUAAGUGUCAAUAUCUGCCGUACAUUAAAACAAGCUACAUCAGAGAAAGUUUAUUGUCUUUUUAAGUAUUAUUUGGAAAAAAAUCUUAACUAUGUACAUAUAUAUUUAAAACUACCUAGAAUAUAUUUUCAACAAUAGAAAAUCAAAUGAAGUAAUAAAUGCUGUGGUCCGAAUAUCUGUGUCCUCUUCAGAUUUUUAUGUUGCAAUCUUAACCUUAAGUUAAUGGCAUUAAGAGGUAAGUCCUGUGGGAGGUGAUACACUGAUGGGGACAUCCCAUUAAGUAACCAGUGGGCUAAGGCAGCUCAUUUGCCAUUUCUACAGUGUGAGAAUGCAGCAACAAGGUGCCAGCUAUGAAGCAAAGAGCCCUUACCAGACAAUGAAUCUACUGACAACUUGAUCUUGGACUCUUCAGCUUCCCAAACUGGUUACCAACUAUAUCACAUAAUGGUCCUAAGGAUUAAAUGAAAAAAAAUGCAGUAAGAUAAAGCUGAUUUAUCAAGGUUGGGGAAAUGCAAUAAAGAAAGAGGUUAAUAAUUCACAGAGCCAGCUGAAUAGAAUACCAGAGUUUUAUUUCUACACAAAUCAGUCUCCCAGAGCAUUAAAUUGAAGCCAAGGGACUGAAAUAAGAAACUCCAGAGAACAACAAGAGGAACUGAAAUUGCAUGGUCAUUAGAAGGCAUCUUAAGAAUAACUGUGUAGCAGAGAAUGAGGACUCAUAUCAAAGUUUGAUUCUUUUAGUAUUGGAUUUUAUGUUCUGAAGGUUAGGACUGAACGUCUCCUGGAGCCAUUAUGCAGCCUACCACACUUGCUAUAUCUUCCAGAAUUUUGGAGGAAGUAAUUCAUUCUGUCAGCUUCCGGCUGGAAAAUGUUAUCAUGUGUCACCUCAAUAUGUGUCAUCUCUGAUACUUCUACAAUUGAAGAGAUACUCUUCCUAUCUAAGGCAAUUCUUGGACCACGUGAUAUGUCUUGGUGGCUCCUCCAGAGAAAAACUCUAUUAUACUAUGUGCAUAAUGUAUAUAUGGUAAAAUAUCUAUGUAUAUAUGGAUAUAUUUUUAAGCAGAAAUAUUUUCUUUUAUUACAAACACAUAUGUGUGACUAGUAUUUAAAAAAUGGCAAAUAGGGAUGGCUUACAUAAAUUCAAUCAUUUAAGCAGAGUGUGUGUGUGUGUUGAAGUAAUUAAGCAGUGAGCCCAUCCUAGACCAGGUACCUGCAGAAAAAUAUCUUAUACUAUGUAUAUAAAAUAGAAAGAUGUGCUACUUGUUACACAAUUGGGGUAUACGUCCACCAGUUUUGCUCUGCUGCAGUUUUAGGGUAUGCUCAGCAGGUAGGGUCACUGGUGGCUAAAAUUCCAUUUUUAAGAUCUUUAAAUAGAGGCAUUACUUUGAUUUUUUUUUACAGAUAUUUAUCAUGUGAUGGUAAGUGCAUUUAAGGUUACAAUAUACAUUCUCAUAUAUUUAAGACUUCAUUUGCUUUAGAUUUUUUUAUCUGGCAAUAAUAGAAAACAAUUUUUGGCUGUGAUAAAAGUGGCCUGUUUUCUCUGAUCUCUAUGCAUCUCAAGGCCACUGCUGAACUCCUCAGCUCAUAUGACAGUUUCAGCUCAUGACAGACAGAUGUUACUCCUCUUCUUUCCUGUCCUGAUACAGUAUUUAAAUGAGUGGUUUUAAGAUUCUUCUUUCCUGCCCUGAUAUAGUAUUUAAAUGAGUGGUUUUAAGAUUCAUACUAACUGCCUGUAUAUGUCAUGACUGUUUUGUUAUUGCAUGCUUGCUUAUUUGUGUAUCAUCUAUCUAUCUAUCUAUCUAUCUAUCUAUCUAUCAUCUAUCAUCUAUCUAUCUAUCAUCUAUCUAUCUAUCUACAUUACUUCUCAGCUGAUUUAAUUUUCUCAAUGCCAACAUUAACAGUGAAUCCUCUGAAAGCCUACCAGAAGAAACUGAGUCAUAGGAAUACAGAUGAUCCUUGACUUACAAUGAUUUAACAUGAUUUCUCAAACUAUGAUAGAUUUAUUGGGGGUAUUAAAUGCAUUUCAACUUACAAUAUUUUUAACUUGGGGUGGACUUAUCAGAUCCUAACCCCACUGUAAGUCAAGGAGCAUCUGUACAACUUUCCUUGUAGGCAGUUUAAUUAUGAAUGUCAUAAACUAUUAUGACAUUUUUUAUACCGUUGGAUCCAUUUGGGGAAACUUCUAUUGGGAUUCAAUUCCACUGAAAUUCUAUUCCAUUGGCUAAAUUGGGGGAGAUAUUUGUUAAUUUUUUAUAUAUUUAGGGGCUUUUGUUUGGCAAAAACUUAUCUCUAAGAGAAGUUCACAUUCCAUCUGCUCUGCCUUUUUUUUUUUUUUUUUUCUUUUGAGACAGAGUCUCACUCUGUUGCCCAGGCUGGAGUGCAGUGAACUCUGCCUUCAGGAAUAAAAAAAGUGUAUCAAUUUGGACAGUUAAUUCAAGAACAUUGAGUUAACCUUCCUAGAUGAUGGAUUUAUCAAAGAAUUUAAAAACACGUUUGCAUUAAGGCAAACACACUUAUUUAACUUUUCUCUGGAACUGGCUGAGAUGUAAACUUUGGUGUGUUUUUAUCUCUGUAAUAGGUAAUAAUUGCAACACAGAUGCCAAGAAAGGGUCUUGAGUAUAAAGAAAUUGCUUUACUGACAUGCAGAUUGAUGAUCAAAUACUAUUUUUGUUCCAUUUCCUCAUUAUUCUUUCAUUUUAUCUCAGCAAAUAGUUAUAGCUAGAUUAAUUCAAUAAUUCAGUAAUUGCCAGACUGAAAAUAACAUUAGAAAUACAAUCUCUUGCUGUCAACUUCAAAGAAAUUCUACUCCUGUAAUAAUUAGGAAAAAAGUGUAAUUCAAAGAUGUUCUGUUUUUUUGAGAAAUACUUUACUUCAUUAAAUUGGAAGUAAGUAGGACAGAAAAAAAUAGUUGAUGUCAUUCUCUCAACAGGGUGCAUAACAAAAUAUAAAAAUUAGUUAUUAAGUCCAGUCAAAUCAAAUAUCAGGCUGACAGAAUUAGAUUUUCCAUUUGGGGUACAAGCUAAAUGCAGGUAAUUAAUAGUAAAGGACUAAUUCCAAGUUCUUUAAACCCCACAUGAAAUAUGAAGCAUAUUUCAAAAAUAAGAUUUCUCUGUGAAAGAUACAAACUGUCUAUAAAGCACUUACCAGGAAUGUUAUCUAAAUUCAAAUAAUUUUUGAAUAAUAUCCAUUGUAACUUUGUAGAUAUUUUUAUCAUUUCAUGAAGAAUGUUAUAACAUAGGCUUUGAGAAAUUAAACAUUUCUCUAAAAUGCUGGAUAUAUUUUCUCAUAUUAUCAUUUGAUAUUAUAUUAAACAGGAUAAAAUGAUAACACAAAUAUUACUUUUAGUGCUCACUUUUUUUACCUUUUAAUGUCUGUAAAACUAAGGUGCUUUUAUAAUUUGGUAAUAUGCCACAAUUUCAUUGGGUGCGUUGUAAAUAUUUGGUCUACAGGCUGCAAAAAAGUGUAAUUGUCUUUUGGAAUAAAUGGCAUUUUGAGGUUCAUUAAAAGUGGUGUGGAUGAUGAAAAGUAAUUGUAAGAGUAAGAAAAUUAUUUUUCUUAGAUCAUUAAAAACUCCAUAUUUUAAAGCUUAAUUCUUAUAUAUUAAAACAUUUUAAAAAUAUAAUUGAAAUAUAACCAAUGUUAUGAAAUUCUGUUUCGUGUUCUGUAGAGCAGCUAUUUAUUAUAAUGUAGACACAAAUCAGUCAUAAUAUAUUUGUAAGCAGAAAAGUAGUUAAUAGGAUUAUGUAAAUUGGUAUAUUUUGAACCUUGCUGUACAGUACUUGGCCAAAAGCUUCAUAAAAAACUACUGUGCCUGAAAAUGGCAUCAGAUUUAUUAACACAAAAUAUGAUUUAAGUGAUUUUCUAACAACAUUUUAAGGUAGCCUCUAUGAUCCUCAAAAUAGUUGACAUAAUAAUAAUAUUCCUUUAUAAUAUAAUUCAUAUUUAUUUAAAGAAAUAUAUGAAUUUAUAAGUGGCAUGUUACAAACAUAUAUGAAAUGAAAAUAAGGUAAUAAUGUUUUUAUCAAUUACUUUUGAUAGCAUCCUUAAUGGACACAUAUUUCUAUCUCCUUAGUGUGUAAAUACAAAUAUUUUAUAUAUGUCUUGAGGGAAGUUUUAGAAAAACAGAUGUGUAGGACAUUUUGGUAUUGAAAGUGAAUUAUCAUUUUGAAAAAGCUAUCUGGAAUGAAUUCAUUCAUAAAACAAACACAAAUGUCAUAUUAAAAUUUUAAUGGUGCUGGGCAUGGUAGCUCAUGCACCAAUUUGGAAGGCCAAGGCAAGAGGAUUGCUUGAGCCUAGGAGUUCAAGACCAGCCUGGGCAACAGAGUGAGAGACCUCAUCUCUACAAAACAUUAAAAAAAUUAGCCAGUGUGGUGUCAUCCAUGUGUAGUCCCCGCUACUCAGGAGGUUACAGUGGUGUAAUUUCUUGAGCUCGGGAGAUCAAGGCUGCAGUGAGCCAUGAUGGUGCCACUGCACUCCAGUCUGGGCAACAGGGCAAGACCCCAUCUCAAAAAAAAAAAAAAGUUUUGAUGGGAGUUUAUCUGUAAAAACAAAAAUUCUAAAAAUUUCUAUUUACAUUAUAUUUAAUACAUUUUAGAUUAUAAUAAAUUUUUUAAAGUGUCAAAUGAACAAAAUGAUGAAUCAGGUGCUAAAAUUUUUUUGCCAUAGGUAUCUGACAAUACUAGCAAGAUAAAUCUUCCUUCACUUCAGAUUGAACUUUCGUAGUCUGAUUACAAAAUGUUUAUUUUGCCAAAAUAUCUGAAGGCCUGAUGCCUCUAUUAUUCAUUCUAAUGCUAACUGACUUUCUUUUAAAGGAUUUAGCAUACUAUUAUUUUUACUGAUUUUUAUCUUUUUCACCACUUUAAUGACCAGGUGUCCAAUGGUCAAUGAUUUUGUACAUUUUGGUAUUUAUCUGAUAUUGUCAAAUGUUUGAUUUGAUUUGCUUCAUCUGAUUUCUUUUAAAUGCAAUUACUUAACUUUGUGGAUCUCUGUAUCUUCUAACACAUUCAUUAUUAUGUGUCCCAGAUAAGUUAUUCAACUGAUUUAAUUUGUCACAACUUCUUAGAGGUAGAAAUAAUACAAUCUUGCAAUAAUUAUAUAUAAAUAAGAGAUAUUUACAUUGGCAUUGAUACAUAUAUGCAUAUUAGUUUUCUAGCCAUAAUCAAUUAGCACAGAUUUGCUAGCUUAAAUAACAGAAAUUCAUGUUCUCACAAUUCUGGGGGCCAUAAGUGAAGGGUGUCAGGAGGUUUGGUUUCUUCAGACUUCCCACCAUGGUUUGCAGAUGCCACCCUCUUUCUGCAUCUGCACAUGGUCGUCCCUCUGUGCAUGAGCACCCCUGACCUCUCCUCCUCUUCUUACAAGGCCAUCGUCAUACUAGAUUGGGGCCUCACUUUAAGGACUUCAUUUUAACUUAAUAAUUUCUUUAAAUAGUUUAUGUUCAAAUAAGUCUGCCUUCUGAGCUACUGAAGGUUAGAGUUUCCACAUAUGAAUUUUAGGGAGAUACAAUUAAUCUUAGAAUAUAGAGAAAAAUUCAAACCUGAUAAACCAAAACCCAGUGUAUGAAACUCAAAGUUUCAACAGCAUUUCAAAUAAAUAAUUAAACUCACCUUCUUGCAGCAUUUUUAAUUUUCCUUAUGACUUCUCUAAAAUUAUUUUUUUCUGGUUUCUAUUCUGCUACACUAGUCAUUCCUUCCAAUUGCCUGUUCUUGCUCUUACACUUUUACUCACUCUCUAAAUAUUGUGAGACCCAGGAAUCAGUGAUGAGUGCUAGAGCCUCUUCUCCCUGCACUUGCUACAUGAGUACUUUAUGGCCAUGAAGGCCACCUUUGAGACAUAUGCCCUAAAUAGGCCUAUUAAUUACAUUCUUUUCUCCCAAACAAUCCUUUGUAUAAUUUUCUCUAUCUUACAUAAUGAUAUCAAUUGUUCAAAGAAAGAUAUAAAGUCUUUUUUAUUCCCUUCUUUACCUUAACUUUCACAUCUAAUUCAUUAGCAAGUCCGGUCAGCAAUAAUUCCAAAAUCCAUCCAAAUAUAGUCCACAUCACUCUCUAUAAUUUUCACCAUAGAUGAGAAAAUAUAAUUUUCUCCAAAUAGGUUCAAAUUUCCUAAGAUUCUUAAUUCCACAUUAUUCAUUAUUUCAUCAAAUCUGCAAAAAGAAGUCAGAAUAAUCUUUUAUACUAUUAUAUACUAUAUAAUUUUGUAUUAGCCAAUUAUAGCUGAAGAAAUAAACACCUGCCUAUUAGCAAUUAACAGACACUGCUAGUAAAAAAUCAGUAAGGACAUGGUUGAACUAAAUAGCACUAUCAAUUAACUAAAUCUAAUUGACCUUUAUGUAAUACCUAAUUUAAUGACAGUGGUAUAUGCAUUCUUCUCUAGCUCACAUGAAAUACUCACCAAGAUAGACCACAUCUUGGGCCACAAAAUGUACUUUAACAAAUUUAAAAUAAUAAUGAUCAUACAAAGUAUGAUGACAUAGCAUAAUAUAAUUAAACCAAAAAUUCAAAGCAGAAAGACACCUGAAAAAUUCCAGAAUACUUGGUGAUUAAAUGACACACUUUUAAAUAAUACAUAAGUUAAGGACAAGGCCACAAAACAAAUUUAAAUCUAGUUUAAAUUAAAGAAAUUGAAAAUGAAACUUAAUUUGUAGGAUGCAGCGGUGCUUUGAGGAAAAUUUAUAAUAUAAAAUGCAUAUAUUAGAAAAGAAGAAAGAUCUGCAAUCUACAACCUAAUCUUCUAUUUUAUGAUACUAGUGAAAGAAUAGCAAAUUAAAUGAAAGUAAGCAAAGCAAAAUUAAAGUUAGAAUAGGAGUCAAUAAAAUUGAAAACAGAAAAUCAAUAGAGAAAAUUUUAAAACAUAAAAAUAAAUUCUAUUAAAAGAUUAAUCAAGUUGAUAAAACUAUAUCUAGGAUAACAAAGAAAAGAAAGAAAACACAAAUUUCAAAUAUCAGAAAUGAAAGGGGGGCCAUCCCUACAGAUCUCAGACAUUAACAAGAUAAUAAAGAAGUAUUAUAAACAACUGUAAGGCCACUUGUUUAAUAACCUAGGAAAAUAUGACAAAUUCCUUGAAAAACAUAAUGUAUCAAAAUUCACAUAAGAACAAAUAGAUAAUAUGAAUAAAGCCUAUGUAUAUUAAAUAAAUUGAAUUGAUAAUUAAUAACCUUCCAAAACAGAAAGAACUAGGCCCAAAUGGGUUCAAUGGUGAAUUCUCACAAACUUAUAAGAAAAAGGCCAACUUUCUUCAAUCUCUUCCAGAAGAGAGAAGCAUAGGGAAUACUUUCUAAAUCAUUCAUUAAGGUUAACGUUAUUCUAACACCCAAACCAGGCAAAGAUAUUUAUUUAACAAAAGGAAAACUAUAAACCAAUGUCUAUCAUGAAUAUUGCUAAAAGUUUGAUAAAAUAUUAACAAAUCACAUUAAAAUGUAUAAAAUAAUUAUACACCACUUCUAGUUUGAGAGUUUUUAUUAUGAAUAGGUGUCUGGUUUAUCAGAGGCUUUGACUAAAUAUAUUUACAUGAUUUUCCUUCUUUACACUGUUAAUGUAACUUUUGAUUUUUGAAUGUUGAAUCAGUCUUGUAUGAUACACUGGUGCCUAUCAGAGGGUGGAGGGGAAGAGAAAGGAGAGGAUCAGGAAAACAUAACUAAUUGAUAGUAGGCUUAGUACCUGGAUGAUGAAAUAAUCAGUACAACAGACCCCAUGACACAUGCUUACCUAUGUAACAAACCUGCACAUGUACCCCUGAACUUAAAAGUUAAAUAAAAGAAACCUCUCAACUGUUUCCCAAACUUCUUGUACCAUUUUAUAUUUACACCAGCAAUGCAUGAGAGUAUUAAUUGUUUCGCAUCCUUGUCAACACCUGGUAUUAUUAAUCUUUUAAAUUUUAGUGAUCCUACUAGAUGUGUAGUGGUACAUAAUUGCCAUUUUAAUUUGUAGUUCCCUGAUAUCUAAUGAGGAUAAGCAUCUCUGUGUGUAUCUAUUGGCUAUUUUUAGAUCAUUUUUGUGAUAUUUAUUUUUAAAUCUUUUGCCUAGUCAUUUAAUUUAGCUUCUUGUCUUAUUAAUAAAUUAUGAGUUCAUGAAAAAUACUUUAAUUAUAAUCUUCUCAAGCCAUAGAAAAAUAUACAGAUGGCAAAUAAGCAGAUGAAAAGAUUUUCCACAUCAUAUGGCAAUAGCCAAUUGAAAAUUAAAAUGAUAAUGAAAUACCACUAGAUGCCUUUAGAAUAGUGAAAUUUCAAAACACAGACAACAUCAAAUGCUGGUGAGAAAGUGGAGCAACAGGGACUCUCAUUUAUUGCUGGGGGAGUACAAAACGGUAGAAUGAUUUGGCAUAGAGUUUGGCAGGUUUUUUCAAAGCUGCCAUAUGAUACAGCAACAAUACCCAAUUGGUAUUUAGUCAAAUGAAUUAAAAAUUUAUGUCCACUCAAAAACCUAGAAACAAAUGUUGACAGUAGCUUUAUUCGUAACUGCUAAAAUUCAGUAACAACCAAGAUGUUCUUCAAUAGAUUAAUAGAUUAACUGUGGUGCUUUCAUACAAUAGCAUAUUAUUCAGUGAUAAAAACAAUAUGAGCUAUUGACAUGAAAAAACACAGAAGAAGCUUAAAUGCAUCUUACUAAGUGCAACAAGCUAAACUGAAAAGACAGACGAGUGAUUGGCCAGGAGUUCCCUCUCAGAAAGGAGUGAAGUAAGAAUGAAUAGGAGAAGCACAAGGAAAUUCUAGGGCAGUGACACUAUUUUGUAAGAUAUUGUAAUGGCAGAUGUAAGCCAUACGAUUUGCAAAAAAAUAUGAAAUGUACAACACAAAGAGUAAUUACUAAUGUAAACCAUGGACUACAGUUAAGCAAUGUAUCAAUAUAGGUGUGCCAAUUGUCAUAAUUGUGCCACACUAAUACAAUACAUUAAUAAUAGGGGAAACUGAAGAACAAGAAGUUCUAAUUAAUUUUUGUAAACCUAAAACUGAUCUGAAAUAUAAAAUUUGUUAAUUUAGAUUAAAAACAAAAUACAUCCAAAAGAAGUCUACAUAAUUAGAAAUAAAAAAUAUCAAUUCCAUCAGACAAUUGCCAAUGGUUAAAUAAAGCUGGUUGAUGAUUACAACAUUUUAUCUAAUGGGAAAAAAAAAAGGAAGAAAGGAGACAACUUGAAUAAGCAGGGUGUUGCUCAAGACUUAGUUCCAGCACAUAAAAAAGGUUAAAUAAAGUUAUGUUUAUAUUUCCUCAAAGUUUGACUUCUCACCAUUAAUGACUAGAUGAUGAAUGAAAAUUAAACAUUGAAAUAUGAUUUUCAAGAUUACCUUAGAUUUAUAUUUGAUUUGCAAUUUUUUGAAUAGUUAUCUCCUAGUCUUCCCACUAGCAUCUGACUUUUUCUGUUUCUAAUCAGUUUUUUUCACUGCUUCAACCUUGUAUCAAAAAAACACUUUCCUUGUUUUGAUUUUGGAACUCUUUAAAAAUUACUGAACUUGUAUUUAUUAUUUUUUUGAGAAUGCAUCCAACAUGCCUGCAUAUUCAUCCCCUUCCUAAAUCUAAGUCCCUUUGCAAUAGCUCCAGCCAUAAAGAAAUGGUGCUUCUUUCCCUCCUACUGAAUUUGGUCUGAGUAUUUUUGAGAAAUAAAAUACAACGGAAGUGGUGGUAUGCUAUUUAUGAGCCUUGGCUUUUAAAGGUUUUGAAUCCUUCUACUCCCUCUUUUAAAACACUGACAACAAAAUUGAUAGACCGCUAGUAA